rnacentral:rRNA from 1 species
AACGAACGCUGGCGGCAGGCCUAACACAUGCAAGUCGAGCGAGGACUUCGGUUCUAGCGGCGGACGGGUGAGUAACGCGUGGGAAUGUGCCCUUCUCUACGGAAUAGCCCUGGGAAACUGGGAGUAAUACCGUAUACGCCCUUUUGGGGAAAGAUUUAUCGGAGAAGGAUCAGCCCGCGUUGGAUUAGGUAGUUGGUGGGGUAAUGGCCUACCAAGCCGACGAUCCAUAGCUGGUUUGAGAGGAUGAUCAGCCACACUGGGACUGAGACACGGCCCAGACUCCUACGGGAGGCAGCAGUGGGGAAUCUUAGACAAUGGGGGCAACCCUGAUCUAGCCAUGCCGCGUGAGUGAUGAAGGCCUUAGGGUUGUAAAGCUCUUUCAGCUGGGAAGAUAAUGACGGUACCGGCAGAAGAAGCCCCGGCUAACUCCGUG